rnacentral:rRNA from 1 species
AGAGUUUGAUCCUGGCUCAGGACGAACGCUGGCGGCGUGCUUAACACAUGCAAGUCGAACGGAAAGGCCUCUUCGGAGGUACUCGAGUGGCGAACGGGUGGGUAACACGUGGGCAAUCUGCCCUGCACUUCGGGAUAAGCCUGGGAAACUGGGUCUAAUACCGGAUAGGACCUCAAGACGCAUGUCUUCUGGUGGAAAGCUUUUGCGGUGUGGGAUGGGCCCGCGGCCUAUCAGCUUGUUGGUGGGGUGACGGCCUACCAAGGCGACGACGGGUAGCCGGCCUGAGAGGGUGUCCGGCCACACUGGGACUGGGAUACGGCCCAGACUCCUACGGGAGGCAGCAGAAGGG